AGUGAACGCUGGCGGUAGGCCUAACACAUGCAAGUCGAACGGCAGCACAGUAAGAGCUUGCUCUUACGGGUGGCGAGUGGCGGACGUGUGAGGAAUACAUCGGAAUCUACUUUUUCGUGGGGGAUAACGUAGGGAAACUUACGCUAAUACCGCAUACGACCUACGGGUGAAAGCAGGGGAUCUUCGGACCUUGUGCGAUUGAAUGAGCCGAUGUCGGAUUAGCUAGUUGGGGGGGUAACGGCCCACCAAGGCGACGAUCCGUAGCUGGUCUGAGAGGAUGAUCAGCCACUCUGGAACUGAGACACGGUACAGACUCCUACGGGAGGCAGCAGUGGGGAAUAUUGGACAAUGGGCGCAAGCCUGAUCCAGCCAUACCGCGUGGGUGAAGAAGGCCUUCGGGUUGUAAGCCCUUUUGUUGGGAAAGAAAAGCAGCAGGUUAAUACCCCGCUGUUCUGACGGUACCCAAAGAAUAAGCACCGGCUAACUUCGUG
rnacentral:rRNA from 1 species